CCGGCCCAGACUCCUACGGGAGGCAGCAGUAGGGAAUCUUCCGCAAUGGACGAAAGUCUGACGGAGCAACGCCGCGUGAGUGAUGAAGGCUUUCGGGUCGUAAAACUCUGUUGUUAGGGAAGAACAAGUGCUAGUUGAAUAAGCUGGCACCUUGACGGUACCUAACCAGAAAGCCACGGCUAACUACGUGCCAGCAGCCGCGGUAAUACGUAGGUGGCAAGCGUUAUCCGGAAUUAUUGGGCGUAAAGCGCGCGCAGGUGGUUUCUUAAGUCUGAUGUGAAAGCCCACGGCUCAACCGUGGAGGGUCAUUGGAAACUGGGAGACUUGAGUGCAGAAGAGGAAAGUGGAAUUCCAUGUGUAGCGGUGAAAUGCGUAGAGAUAUGGAGGAACACCAGUGGCGAAGGCGACUUUC
rnacentral:rRNA from 1 species